rnacentral:lncRNA from 1 species
GCUCAUGACCUAAUCAACCCGGUGUUGCUCUGCCUCAAGAUUCCUUCCUCUAUGAAAGUCAAUUAAAGCUGAAAAAGAAAAAAAAAAACCAGAGUCAGUGAUGAAGUGGAGGAUGUUUAAAUCUUGGGAUGGAGUCUGUAACCACUGCGGGAAGGCAGAAAUUAAUGGCUAGUGAAUCUGGGAGAAGCCUGGAGGAAGGAAGAAUGGAAGAAGAACAGAAACAAAAGGGUUCCCACAGAACGGCCUGCACAGUGUGUAAAGAGAAGGCCCUGGUAUUUAGGACGGGAGAUCAAAGGGUGGACAACAGGUAUUCAGGAACACGGUCCCAGGUGAAGUAUCAACGUGAUUGUGGUGAAUUGACUAAUGGUCAACUUGGAAUGCCCAGCUACACUGAGUCAUCAUGGUUCUGGGCAUGGAAGACCAACCUGAGGAUUGCUGCCAAAGGCAUAAAAAGAAAACUGGGUGGAAAGAUUGUAUGCUGUUGAUUUUACUGCAGAAGCUUGCUUCUGCUGGUUCUCCUGAUAUGAAUUCAGCUGUUGUCAUCAUCGGAGGAGCUCGGGUCCUAGUUGCUGCAGGGAUGAUUGCUGUUUUCUUUAGGAGAGCUACAGCCUUUGCCUUGAUCGUUGACUCCAGUGCAGAUCCCUGGGCCUGGUGGCACAGACCUUUCAUGCUGCCAAAGCAGACUUUCCAGCUUCCACCGCUGGCCUUUGGACAUUCCUGUUACAGAUCCC